CAUACAUACAUACAUACAUACAUACAUACAUACAUACACACACACACACACAUAUAUAUAUAUACAUAUAUAUACACAUAUAUAUAUAUAUACAUGGGGUGGGUGGCUGCUUCCAAAUAGAGCACAUUUCAUUCAUAAUUAUGUAAAUCCAAGCCCAUUAUGUAUUACUGAUUUGAAGAUUUGAAUCCUGGGUUGUGUGAAAUCCCAGAAAUACACCUUCGACAAAGUGAAUCUGUGAAGGUGUAGGUCUAUUAGGUUAUGUUGUGGUGAUCCUCGAGUUGGGCGAGGGGUGUUCAUACUGGAGUCCAAAAUUAAAACCAAUGGAAGAUGGACAAGAAAAGUUCAAAGCCAUCAGGUGCUCAGUUUACAAAAAAGAGAAAAGAAGAGGAGGAGAAACGAGCAAAAGAUACAGGUGACAGAAGAACCAACACAAAGUUCAGAGAAAAAUGGAGAUACAAGAUCACAGGUGAAAUUGGAUGAUGACUUGGUGGUGCACAUGUGUGACUACAUGUUUUUUGUAAUUUAACAUUAUAUAAUUCACAUAUAAAACUAUGAAUUGUAAUUUUAAAUGGUUUAAAAACAUGUAGAAUAGCAUAUGUAGGCAAGUAUAUUUCUCCUUUUUUUUUAUCAAGAAGCAAAGACAAAAAGGAAAAAAAAAAAGAAACGACAGGGUUCGGUGGUUGAGUAAUUCGUCCCCACCAAUGCCAAAACCAAAUCUACGCCCUUGCUUUCCAUGUUAAUUUAAGUUUUGCUGUAUGUGCCAGGGUGUGCUUUAUCUGAUGCUGCCAUAGCUUCUUCAUCACUGGGUACAAAAGCUGCCUCUGCGCCACUCGCUCUGCGGUCAUAUCUUCAUAGAAUGACAAGCGGCAGUUCUCCCACAUUAUGCCUUUCUUCUGCAUAGCGCUUAUGAGAACUUUUUGUCAUGCAGUGUAACACAGAAAUCUCACUAGCAUGGUUCAAGGUGGUUGACCAGGUCCCGGGCGUGGUCUUGUACCUCUGUGGCAUCUUUCCAGCUCAUAUUCCUCCCCUCGUAGACCCAGGCCAUCAGCAAGUAUCUUCAUCACAUAAUCAUUUGUGUUGCCACCUUCAGACCCUCUUCCAGACCGAUAAGCCAAAUAUUCUUUCUGCGGUUUCUGUUUUCCUGGUCAUCUACUCGGGCCCAUAGUUGUUCAAGCUUUUUUGAUAUUUUUGCCAUUAUCUUCUGUUAUGCUCCUCAUUUUGUUUUCCACAUCUGAAUUGCGGCCCUCAGCUUCAGUCAUCCGUAUUUGGAUUCCACUUAUAGCGUUUUUAAAUUUUACCAUGUCAGACUUGAUGUGAGAUAUAUCGGCUGCAACACCGGUUAGGAUAGCUCCAAGCUUAGUCAUUUCGGCAAACAAGCCGCUUAUAUCCAUCUUUGGUCCUUCUUCUUGGCUAGCAGGGCUAACAUUAGUACUGCUAGCAUUAUUUCCCCCCACCGCCAUUGUGGAGAUUCGAGUUUGCACGCUCUUCUUCGUUUCUCUGGCCAUGUCUCUCAAUAAAUUCAAGGACGCUGAUCUAGCCACCACAGUCUGGAAAUGCAUUAUUUGGGAACGUCUAACUUUUUAAAAACUAAUGUAAGGUUGACGGGGGUCAGAGACUCUCUAUGGCGGAGCCAGUCCCAAACGCUCCAUCACGCAACUCCCAUCCUGAUCGAUUUUAUAAAUAUACAUGUAUUUUGCCAGAAACGCCAGGAUCUCAGGUUGAAGCUCACAAAACUAUUUCAAAACCACCAAAGAGCCAAAAUAGUAAAUGAGAGCAGGUAAACGGAUUCCACUCCUUAAAGCACUUUACAAAGAAACCACUGCUCUGCAUAAUGCUUUAUUUUAAGAUAAAAUAACUUUUUUAAAGAUAAAGAGGCCCUGUACACAUCACGACCAAAAUUCACUGAACCAGCAGCAAAAGAAGAUCAAAACUACAUCGUCAUUAAUUCCCUCUUACUUUUGCUGUUUUCCUUCCACCAUGAUAAAAUGUUUUGUGCAUUAUUUGCUUGAUUAUUACCCACCCGUCUAAAUAGGGUGGGUAAUAAUUGAAUAUUAUUACACAGUAAAAAAAACAACUACACUUAAAAUAAUGACACCAUAAAGAUGCUUUUUUUUGGUUAUUUAAAAGAGUUAGUAGUUUAUAUUAUUGUAACCUGUAAUUUAUUGCAGUUUACUUUUGUUUAUUUGUUUACAAAAGGUUUGAGGUGUGAAAUAAACUGCAAUUGAGUUUGAAAACAAAAUAUGGAUGUGUGUGGUUGGAGGAUGUGUUGGUGCGCCAAGAUUUUUGUGGGUCCAUAUUCAGUGCUCCAAAUAGGGUCGUUUGACUCAAUCAUUUCAGUCCUGCGUUCAAUGGAAUCAGUCUUCAAUAAAACAUAGCAGCGAAUAAGUAAAGAAAAAAAGAGGAAAAGUUG
ensembl:lncRNA